AUGUCCCACUCGUACACUGCGGUUCUGAGCGCGCCGUCCACAUCCACCUACCGACUGCUCGCGAAGUUCUGUCAGCA
rnacentral:sRNA from 1 species